rnacentral:rRNA from 1 species
GACGAACGCUGGCGGCGUGCUUAACACAUGCAAGUCGAACGGACCGGCCCUGCUUUUGUGGGGUGCUCGAAUGGCGAACGGGUGAGUAACACGUGAGUAACCUGCCCUUGACUUUGGGAUAACUUCAGGAAACUGGGGCUAAUACCGGAUAGGAGCUCCUGCUGCAUGGUGGGGGUUGGAAAGUUUCGGCGGUUGGGGAUGGACUCGCGGCUUAUCAGCUUGUUGGUGGGGUAGUGGCUUACCAAGGCUUUGACGGGUAGCCGGCCUGAGAGGGUGACCGGCCACAUUGGGACUGAGAGACGGACCAGACUCCUACGGGAGGCAGCAGUGGGGAAUAUUGCAGAAUGGGCGGAAGCCUGAUGCAGCAACGCCGCGUGCGGGAUGACGGCCUUCGGGUUGUAAACCGCGUUCGCCUGUGACGAAGCGUGAGUGACGGUAAUGGGUAAAGAAGCACCGGCUAACUACGUG